rnacentral:rRNA from 1 species
CGGGGUGCACCAGGCGCGAAAACUCUACAAUGCAGGCAACUGCGAUAGGGGAACAUCGAGUGAUCCUCAUAUUGGGGGUCUGUCUACUCGCCUAAAAAGCGGGUGUUAGCAAGGGCCGGGCAAGACCGGUGCCAGCCGCCGCGGUAAUACCGGCGGCUCGAGUGGUGGCCGAUAUUAUUGAGUCUAAAGGGUCCGUAGCCGGCUUUGCAAGUCUCUCGGGAAAUCCAGCGGCUUAACCGUUGGUCGUCCGGGGGGUACUACAUUGCUUGGGACUGGGAGAGGUAGGAGGUACUCAGGGGGUAGGAGUGAAAUCCUGUAAUCCUUUGGGGACCACCGGUGGCGAAGGCGUCCUACCAGAACAGGUCCGACGGUGAGGGACGAAAGCUAGGGGCACGAACCGGAUUAGAUACCCGGGUAGUCCUAGCCGUAAACGAUGCUCGCUAGGUGUCACAACAGUCGUGAACUGUUGUGGUGCCGUAGGGAAGCCGUGAAGCGAGCCACUUGGGAAGUACGACCGCAAGGUUGAAACUUAAAGGAAUUGGCGGGGGAGCAC